UCAUACGUAGGACCCAAGCGUUAUCCGGAUUUACUGGGCGUAAAGAGUUGCGUAGGUGGCAGAGUAAGUGAAUAGUGAAAUCGUGCGGCUCAACCGUAUACCCAUUAUUUAAACUGCUCAGCUUGAAGAUGAGAGAGGUCACUGGAAUUCCAAGUGUAGGAGUGAAAUCCGUAGAUAUUUGGAGGAACACCGAUGGCGUAGGCAGGUGACUGGCUCAUUCUUGACACUAAGGCACGAAAGCGUGGGGAGCAAACGGG
rnacentral:rRNA from 1 species